rfam:Monosiga brevicollis MX1 MONBRscaffold_28 genomic scaffold, whole genome shotgun sequence.
AAACCGGUGUUUCUAAACACCACUAUCUGCUCUAUCAUCUUGAAU